UUGAACGCUGGCGGCGUGCUUAACACAUGCAAGUCGAGCGGCAGCAGGCCCGCAAGGGUGCUGGCGAGCGGCGGACGGGUGAGCAAUACAUAGGAAUCUGCCUUAGAGCGGGGAAUAGCCCGGGGAAACCCGGAUUAAUGCCGCAUGAUGUCGAAAGACCAAAGUGGGGGAUCGUAAGACCUCACACUCUGAGAUGAGCCUAUGUCCGAUUAGCUAGUUGGCGGGGGUAAUGGCCCACCAAGGCGACGAUCGGUAGCUGGUCUGAGAGGACGAUCAGCCACACCGGAACUGAGACACGGUCCGGACUCCUACGGGAGGCAGCAGUGGGGAAUAUUGGACAAUGGGCGAAAGCCUGAUCCAGCGACGCCGCGUGGGUGAAGAAGGCCUUCGGGUUGUAAAGCCCUUUAAGCCGGGACGAAAAAAUCGAACCUAACACGUUCGGUCUUGACGGUACCGGAAGGAUAAGCACCGGCUAACUCUGUGCCAGCAGCCGCGGUAAUACAGAGGGUGCGAGCGUUAAUCGGAUUUACUGGGCGUAAAGCGUGUGUAGGUGGCCGCGUAAGUCGGUUGUGAAAUCCCUGGGCUCAACCCGGGAAUUGCAGCCGAUACUGCGUGGCUAGAGUUCGGUAGAGGACGGCAGAAUUCCCAGGUGUAGCGGUGAAAUGCGUAGAGAUCGGGAGGAAUACCGAUGGCGAAAGCAACCGUCUGGGCCUGAACUGACACUGAGACACGAAAGCGUGGGGAGCAAACAGGAUUAGAUACCCUGGUAGUCCUACGCCUAAACGAUGGGAACAUUAGAUGUAGAGUGUAUGCGACCCUUCGGCUGUCGAAGCUAACGCGAUUAAGUUACCCGCCUGGGGAGUACGGCCGCAAGGCUGAAACUCAAAGGAAUUGACGGGGGCCCGCACAAGCGGUGGAGCUAUGUGGUUUAAUUCGACUGCAACGCGAAGAACCUUACCUGGGCUUGACUACUGUCGGUAAUCCUGCAGAGAGCAGUGGCGUGACCCGCAAGGGAACCGAGACACAGGUGCUGCAUGGUUGUCGUCAGCUCGUGUCGUGAGACUGUUGGGUUAAGUCCCGCAACGAGCGCAACCCCUAGUCUCAUGUUGCUAGCCCUCAGUGAGGCACUCUAGGAGACUGCCGGUCGAUAAACGGAGGAAGGUGGGGACUGACGUCAAGUCCUCAUGGCCCUUAUGUCCAGGGCUACACACGUACUACAAUGGCCGAUACAGACGGGUAGCAAGUACCGCGAGGGGGAGCUAAUCCCAUGAAAGUCCGGUCCCGUAGUCAGGAUUGUGAGUCUGCAACUCGCCUCCGUGAAGUCGGAAUCGCUAGUAAUCGCGGAUCAGCAUUUGCCGCGGUGAAUACGUUCCCGGGCCUUGUACACACCGCCCGUCACACCACUGGAAGUCCUGCUGCACCAGAAGUCAGUGAUCGAACCCGCAAGGGACGAAGCUGCCGAAGUUGUGGUUGGUGAUUGGGGUG
rnacentral:rRNA from 1 species